AAUGACAAACAUAGUUUAAUGGCCGCGGUACCCUGACCGUGCAAAGGUAGCAUAAUCAUUUGCCCCUUAAUUAGGGGCUAGCAUGAAAGGACACACGAAAGCUUCCCUGUCUCACAAUAACAAAUAAAAAUUAAUCUUCAAGUGAAAAAGCUUGAAUGAAACUGCAGGACAAGAAGACCCCGUUGAGCUUUAUUCUCUAUAGACUAAAUCAAAUAUUAAAUAUAUCAUAAACCUAAAAAGAAUUUAGUUGGGGUGACUAAGGAACACCAAAAACUUCCUUUUAUUAAUUAGGAUUAUUCUCCAUAUAAAUUGACCCAUUACAUAUGAUCAAAAAAAUAAGCUACCACAGGGAUAACAGGCUAAUCUUUCUCAAGAGCCCAAAUUGUCAGAAAGGAUUGGCACCUCGAUGUUGGCUUAGGGGCCCCUAAUGGUGCAGAAGCCAUAAAUGGUAGGUUUGUUCAACCUUUAAAACCCUAC
rnacentral:rRNA from 1 species